rnacentral:ribozyme from 1 species
AGCAUGUACAUCUGGAGCUGCCCGCCGUCGCAGGGUGAGGACUACAUCCUGUACUGCCACCCGCAGCGGCAGAAGACGCCGAAGCCGGACAAGCUG